rnacentral:rRNA from 1 species
GAUAAACGCUAGCGGCAGGCCUAACACAUGCAAGUCGAGCGGUAGUUCACUUUCGGGCGAAUGAGAGCGGCGCACGGGUGCGUAACACGUAUGCAAUCUACCUUAUACUGGGAGAUAGCCCGGAGAAAUCCGGAUUAAUAUCCCAUAGUAUCUUAAAAACACCUGUUUUAAAGAUUAAAGUUCCGACGGUAUAAGAUGAGCAUGCGUCCUAUUAGCUAGUUGGUGCGGUAACGGCGCACCAAGGCAACGAUAGGUAGGGGUCCUGAGAGGGAGAUCCCCCACACUGGUACUGAGACACGGACCAGACUCCUACGGGAGGCAGCAGUGAGGAAUAUUGGACAAUGGGCGCAAGCCUGAUCCAGCCAUGCCGCGUGCAGGAAGACGGUCCUAUGGAUUGUAAACUGCUUUUGCAGGGAAAGAAUAAGUUCGCUGAGGCGAAUGAUGACGGUACUCUGCGAAUAAGCAUCGGCUAACUCCG